rnacentral:rRNA from 1 species
AGAGUUUGAUCCUGGCUCAGGGCGAACGCUGGCGGCGUGCCUAAGGUAUGCAAGUCGAACGGAUCUUGUCUUCGGACAAGGUUAGUGGCGAACGGGUGAGUAACGCGUGGGAACGUACCCUCGACACGGGAAUAACCCGGAGAAAUCUGGGCUAAUACCCGAUGGUCUCUAAGCGCAAUCGAAGAGUAAAGCUUUUGCGGUCGAGGACCGGCCCGCGUCCUAUCAGCUUGUUGGUGAGGUAAUGGCUCACCAAGGCAAUGACGGGUAGGGGGUGUGAGAGCACGGCCCCCCACAAUGGCACUGAGAUAAGGGCCAUACUCCUACGGGAGGCAGCAAUCAGGAAUCUUGCGCAAUGCUCGCAAGAGUGACGCAGCGACGCCGCGUGAGGGAUGAAGGCCUUCGGGUUGUAAACCUCUUUUAAAUAGCCACGGCUAACUACGUGCCAGCAGCAGCGGUCAAACGUAGGUGGCAAGCGUUGCCCGGUCUUAUUGGGCGUAAAGAGUACGUAGGUCUUCCCUUAAGUUUCAAGUGAAAUCCCUCUGCUCAACGGAGGAAUGGCUUGAAAUACUGGGGGAAUUGAGGCAAGCAGAGGAAAGCGGAAUCUCGGGAGGAGGGGUGAAAUCCAGUGAUCCCCGGGAGAACACCAAAGGCGAAGGCAGCUUUCUGGGCUUGAUCUGACGCUGAGGUACGAAAGCGUGGGUAGCGAAACGGAUUAGAUACCCGUGUAGUCCACGCCCUAAACGAUGGACACUAGGUGUUCGGUCCCCGAUUUAUCGGGAGAUUGAGUGUCGAAGCUAACGCGUUAAGUGUCCCGCCUGGGAACUACGGUCGCAAGGCUAAAACUCAAAGGAAUUGGCGGGGACCCGCACAAGCGGUGGAGCGUGUGGUUUAAUUCGAUGAUAACCGAAGAACCUUACCAGGGCUUGACAUGCCCGUCAUAUCCUUGAGAAAUCAAGGAGUCAGUUCGGCUGGACGGUGCACAGGUGUUGCAUGGCUGUCGUCAGCUCGAGUCGUGAGAUGUAUGGUUAAGUCCCAUAUCGAGCGCAACCCCUACCCUGUGUUAGAAUCCGCCUUCGGGCGCGAUAAUGUCACAGGGAACUGCCUCGGAAACGGGGAGGAAGGUGGGGACGACGUCAAGUCAGUAUUGCCCUUAUGUCCUGGGCGACACACGCGCUACAAUGGCCGGUACAAUAGGUUGCGACGAGGCAACUCUAAGCUAAUCCUCAAAGCCGGUCUCAGUUCGGAUUGGGGUCUGAAACUCGGCCCCAUGAAGUUGGAAUCGCUAGUAAUCGCCGGUCAGCCAUACGGCGGUGAAUACGUUCUCGGGUCUUGCACACACCGCCCGUCAAUUGGGGAAAGUUGGGAAUGCCCGAACUCCGAGUAUUCGGGGGAAGGCAGGCUCAGCGAUCAACAAUAAGUCGUAACAAGGUAACC